GACGAACGCUGGCGGCGUGCUUAACACAUGCAAGUCGAACGGAAAGGCCCUGCUUUUGUGGGGUGCUCGAGCGGCGAACGGGUGAGUAACACGUGAGUAACCUGCCCUUGCCUUUGGGAUAACUUCAGGAAACUGGGGCUAAUACCGGAUAGGAGCUCCUGCUGCAUGGUGGGGGUUGGAAAGUUUCGGCGGUUGGGGAUGGACUCGCGGCUUAUCAGCUUGUUGGUGGGGUAGUGGCUUACCAAGGCUUUGACGGGUAGCCGGCCUGAGAGGGUGACCGGCCCCAUUGGGACUGGGAUACGGCCCAGACUCCUACGGGAGGCAGCAGUGGGGAAUAUUGCACUAUGGGCGGAAGCCUGAUGCAGCCCCGCCGCGUGCGGGAUGACGGCCUUCGGGUUGUAAUCCGCUUUCGCCUGUGACGAAGCGUGAGUGACGGUAAUGGGUAAAGAAGCACCGGCUAACUACGUG
rnacentral:rRNA from 1 species